UACACAUUGCAAGCCUCAGCGGUAACAGGGAGGUGCUUGCACCCCGCCGACGAGCGGCGGACGGGUGAGUAAUGCAUAGGAAACUGCCCAGUAGUGGGGGAUAGCCCGGGGAAACCCGGAUUAAUACCGCGUACGCCCUUCGGGGGAAAGCAGGGGAUCUUCGGACCUUGCGCUAUUGGAUGUGCCUAUGUCGGAUUAGCUAGUUGGUGGGGUAAAGGCCUACCAAGGCGACGAUCCGUAGCUGGUCUGAGAGGAUGAUCAGCCACAUCGGGACUGAGACACGGCCCGAACUCCUACGGGAGGCAGCAGUGGGGAAUAUUGGACAAUGGGGGCAACCCUGAUCCAGCCAUGCCGCGUGUGUGAAGAAGGCUUUCGGGUUGUAAAGCACUUUCAGUGAGGAGGAAAACUCUGCGACUAAUACUCGUAGGGCUUGACGUUACUCACAGAAGAAGCACCGGCUAACUCCGUGCCAGCAGCCGCGGUAAUACGGAGGGUGCAAGCGUUAAUCGGAAUUACUGGGCGUAAAGCGCGCGUAGGUGGUUUGAUAAGCGAGAUG
rnacentral:rRNA from 1 species